ensembl:lncRNA
CAGCGCUCUUCUUUUUGAUAGGUCCAGACUGACGUCACUCAAACUGCUGGCGCUCUAGCCACGCCUCCUUCCUUAACCUGGGUCCUGGGUUAGAGUAAUUUAUAUCGUUUCUAACGCGAAGAGCUUGAAUUUCAUCCGUGUGAACUCAUAGAAAUGCUGUCCGAGCCACAGUAAUGUGUAAAGAAUGGACACCAAAACACCUCCAGACAUAAACAGCGCCGACUAACUCCAAUGACUUUAGUCAGUUUAGUUUUUGAGAAUGAAUGUGAAACAGAAAACGAGAAGCAUGGAAGAGGGGGAAUUAACUGGAAAUACCAAAUGGCUUAAGAAAAUAGUUCUGCUUCUCACGUAGCUAUUUAUAAGAGCAAGAAGAGAUGUUGUAGUGUACGCGCAAGCUGUCACUAACACACUACCACACUAUUUUCAUGUUUGUUUGGGUACACACUGAAACCAUUUUAAGGUAGUGAAAACACUGUGAUAAAAAGGAAGAGUUUUGUGUUGAAUAGCAAAGUUCAGCAGCAAGACUGGGGGUACAUUCAAAUUAUAGCGAUAUUAAGCCAGUCAGAGAACGGAGAACUGUGAAACAUGGAUUAUGGUGAAAGUGCUCUUUGUGGAAGUGGAGAACUGGAGAUGGAUCCAGAUAUUGUGAGCGAGGAGGCGGGGAAACUGUACUCGGAGCUGCAGUUGGUGGUGGAGACUCAUGGAGCUGGUGUGGUGGAGUCCCUGCUGCCCAUCCUCGUCUGGGUUCUGGAAGGGCUGGCAAGCUGCAGGGCUCAGCUGAGAGAGAGAGAGGAGGAGGCAGAGAAAGAGAGAGGAGAGAGAGAAGAACUGUUGGAGAGGUAUCAGAAUGAGAAAACGCUGAGGAGAGAGAGCCAAGAGGUGAGAAACAACUGUGUGAUGAAUUGAAGGUCUUUUGUG